rnacentral:tRNA from 1 species
UGCGAACGUAGUUCAGGGGUAGAACACAACCUUGCCAUGGUUGGGGUCGCGAGUUCGAAUCUCGUCGUUCGAC